AGAACUUGAAACCGUGUGCUUACAAGUAGUCAGAGCCCGUUAAUGGGUGAUGGCGUGCCUUUUGUAGAAUGAACCGGCGAGUUACGAUCUGAUGCAAGGUUAAGCAGAAAAUGUGGAGCCGUAGCGAAAGCGAGUCUGAAUAGGGCGAAUGAGUAUUUGGUCGUAGACCCGAAACCAGGUGAUCUACCCUUGGUCAGGUUGAAGUUCAGGUAACACUGAAUGGAGGACCGAACCGACUUACGUUGAAAAGUGAGCGGAUGAACUGAGGGUAGCGGAGAAAUUCCAAUCGAACUUGGAGAUAGCUGGUUCUCUCCGAAAUAGCUUUAGGGCUAGCCUCAAGUGAUGAUUAUUGGAGGUAGAGCACUGUUUGGACGAGGGGCCCCUCUCGGGUUACCGAAUUCAGACAAACUCCGAAUGCCAAAUAAUUUAACUUGGGAGUCAGAAUGUGGGUGAUAAGGUCCAUAUUCGAAAGGGAAACAGCCCAGACCACCAGCUAAGGUCCCAAAAUAUAUGUUAAGUGGAAAAGGAUGUGGCGUUGCCCAGACAACUAGGAUGUUGGCUUAGAAGCAGCCAUCAUUUAAAGAGUGCGUAAUAGCUCACUAGUCGAGUGACACUGCGCCGAAAAUGUACCGGGGCUAAACAUAUUACCGAAGCUGUGGAUUGUCCUUUGGACAAUGGUAGGAGAGCGUUCUAAGGGCGUUGAAGCAUGAUCGCAAGGACAUGUGGAGCGCUUAGAAGUGAGAAUGCCGGUGUGAGUAGCGAAAGACGGGUGAGAAUCCCGUCCACCGAUUGACUAAGGUUUCCAGAGGAAGGCUCGUCCGCUCUGGGUUAGUCGGGUCCUAAGCUGAGGCCGACAGGCGUAGGCGAUGGAUAACAGGUUGAUAUUCCUGUACCACCAUUAUUCGUUUUAAGCGAUGGGGGGACGCAGUAGGAUAGGCGAAGCGUGCUGUUGGAGUGCACGUCCAAGCAGUGAGAUUGAGUGUUAGGCAAAUCCGGCACUCUUAAGAUUGAGCUGUGAUGGGGAGAGGAACUUGUUCCUCGAGUCGUUGAUUUCACACUGCCGAGAAAAGCCUCUAGCUAGAAUAACGGUGCCCGUACCGCAAACCGACACAGGUAGUCAAGAUGAGAAUUCUAAGGUGAGCGAGCGAACUCUCGUUAAGGAACUCGGCAAAAUGACCCCGUAACUUCGGGAGAAGGGGUGCUCUUUGAGGUUCACGCUUCGAAGAGCCGCAGUGAAUAGGCCCAAGCGACUGUUUAUCAAAAACACAGGUCUCUGCUAAACCGUAAGGUGACGUAUAGGGGCUGACGCCUGCCCGGUGCUGGAAGGUUAAGAGGAGUGGUUAGCGCAAGCGAAGCUACGAAUCGAAGCCCCAGUAAACGGCGGCCGUAACUAUAACGGUCCUAAGGUAGCGAAAUUCCUUGUCGGGUAAGUUCCGACCCGCACGAAAGGCGUAACGAUUUGGGCACUGUCUCAACGAGAGACUCGGUGAAAUCAUAGUACCGGUGAAGAUGCCGGUUACCCGCGACAGGACGGAAAGACCCCGUGGAGCUUUACUGUAGCCUGAUAUUGAAAUUCGGUACAGUUUGUACAGGAUAGGUAGGAGCCUUAGAAGCGUGAGCGCUAGCUUACGUGGAGGCAUUGGUGGGAUACUACCCUAAUUGUAUUGGAUUUCUAACCCGCAGCACUUAUCGUGCUGGGAGACAGUGUCAGGCGGGCAGUUUGACUGGGGCGGUCGCCUCCUAAAGAGUAACGGAGGCGCUCAAAGGUUCCCUCAGAAUGGUUGGAAAUCAUUCAUAGAGUGUAAAGGCAUAAGGGAGCUUGACUGCGAGACCUACAAGUCGAGCAGGGUCGAAAGACGGACUUAGUGAUCCGGUGGUUCCGCAUGGAAGGGCCAUCGCUCAACGGAUAAAAGCUACCCCGGGGAUAACAGGCUUAUCUCCCCCAAGAGUUCACAUCGACGGGGAGGUUUGGCACCUCGAUGUCGGCUCAUCGCAUCCUGGGGCUGUAGUCGGUCCCAAGGGUUGGGCUGUUCGCCCAUUAAAGCGGUACGCGAGCUGGGUUCAGAACGUCGUGAGACAGUUCGGUCCCUAUCCGUCGUGGGCGUAGGAAAUUUGAGAGGAGCUGUCCUUAGUACGAGAGGACCGGGAUGGACAUACCUCUGGUGUACCAGUUGUCGUGCCAACGGCAUAGCUGGGUAGCUAUGUAUGGACGGGAUAAGUGCUGAAAGCAUCUAAGCAUGAAGCCCCCCUCGAGAUGAGAUU
rnacentral:rRNA from 1 species